rnacentral:rRNA from 1 species
ACACUGUGCAAUGCGCGAAAGCGCGACACGGGGAGCUUGAGUGUCUUGGCAUAGCCAAGACUUUUCUCAUUCCUAAAAAGCAUGAGGAAUAAGUGCUGGGUAAGACGGGUGCCAGCCGCCGCGGUAACACCCGCAGCACGAGUAGUGGUCACUUUUAUUGAGCCUAAAGCGUUCGUAGCCGGUUUUGUAAAUCUUCAGAUAAAGCCUGAAGCUUAACUCCAGAAAGUCUGAAGAGACUGCAAGACUUGAGAUCGGGUGAGGUUAAACGUACUUUCAGGGUAGGGGUAAAAUCCUGUAAUCCCGGAAGGACGACCAGUGGCGAAAGCGUUUAACUAGAACGAAUCUGACGGUAAGGAACGAAGGCUAGGGUAGCAAACCGGAUUAGAUACCCGGGUAGUCCUAGCUGUAAACAUUGCCCAUUUGAUGUUGCUCUUCNAUUGAGGGAAGAGCCAGCAGGAAUUGGCGGGGGA